AUUGAACGCUGGCGGCAGGCCUAACACAUGCAAGUCGAACGGUAGCACAGAGAGCUUGCUCUCGGGUGACGAGUGGCGGACGGGUGAGUAAUGUCUGGGAAACUGCCUGAUGGAGGGGGAUAACUACUGGAAACGGUAGCUAAUACCGCAUAAUGUCGCAAGACCAAAGAGGGGGACCUUCGGGCCUCUUGCCAUCAGAUGUGCCCAGAUGGGAUUAGCUAGUAGGUGGGGUAAUGGCUCACCUAGGCGACGAUCCCUAGCUGGUCUGAGAGGAUGACCAACCACACUGGAACUGAGACACGGUCCAGACUCCUACGGGAGGCAGCAGUGGGGAAUAUUGCACAAUGGGCGCAAGCCUGAUGCAGCCAUGCCGCGUGUAUGAAGAAGGCCUUCGGGUUGUAAAGUACUUUCAGCGGGGAGGAAGGUGUUGCGGUUAAUAACCGCAGCAAUUGACGUUACCCGCAGAAGAAGCACCGGCUAACUCCGUGCCAGCCGCCGCCGUAACAC
rnacentral:rRNA from 1 species